rnacentral:rRNA from 1 species
AGUCGAGCGGACUUGAAGAGAAGCUUGCUUCUCUGAUGGUUAGCGGCGGACGGGUGAGUAACACGUAGGCAACCUGCCCUCAAGUUUGGGACAACUACCGGAAACGGUAGCUAAUACCGAAUAGUUGUUUUCUUCUCCUGAAGAGAACUGGAAAGACGGAGCAAUCUGUCACUUGGGGAUGGGCCUGCGGCGCAUUAGCUAGUUGGUGGGGUAACGGCUCACCAAGGCGACGAUGCGUAGCCGACCUGAGAGGGUGAUCGGCCACACUGGGACUGAGACACGGCCCAGACUCCUACGGGAGGCAGCAGUAGGGAAUCUUCCGCAAUGGGCGAAAGCCUGACGGAGCAAUGCCGCGUGAGUGAUGAAGGUUUUCGGAUCGUAAAGCUCUGUUGCCAGGGAAGAACGCUUGGGAGAGUAACUGCUCUCAAGGUGACGGUACCUGAGAAGAAAGCCCCGGCUAACUACGUGCCAGCAGCCGCGGUAAUACGUAGGGGGCAAGCGUUGUCCGGAAUUAUUGGGCGUAAAGCGCGCGCAGGCGGUCAUUUAAGUCUGGUGUUUAAUCCCGGGGCUCAACCCCGGAUCGCACUGGAAACUGGGUGACUUGAGUGCAGAAGAGGAGAGUGAAAUUCCACGUGUAGCGGUGAAAUGCGU